GAUGAAGAACGUAGCAAAAUGCGAUAAGUAAUGUGAAUUGCAGAAUUCAGUGAAUCAUCGAAUCUUUGAACGCAUCUUGCGCUCCUUGGUAUUCUGAGGAGCAUGCCUGUUUGAGUGUCAUUAAAUUCUCAACUACACUGACUUUGAAUUGGUGUGGCUUGGAUUUGGGGGGAAAAUUGUUGUGGGCUUUUUGUAUAGUCUGCUCCCCUGAAAUUGAUUAGCGGUACCUUUGUGGAACUGUCUACAGGUGUGAUAAUUAUCUACAUCUGCUGGAAUGCUGCUUUCUAAACCUUACUUGUAUUGACAAUCUUGACCUCAAAUCAGGUAGGACUACCCGCUGAACUUAAGCAUAUCAAUAAGCGGAGGA
rnacentral:misc_RNA from 1 species